rnacentral:rRNA from 1 species
AGAGUUUGAUUCUGGCUCAGAACGAACGCUGGCGGCAGGCCUAACACAUGCAAGUCGAGCGCGCCUUUCGGGGUGAGCGGCGGACGGGUGAGUAACGCGUGGGAACGUGCCCUUUUCUACGGAAUAGUCUCGGGAAACUGGGGGUAAUACCGUAUACGCCCUUCGGGGGAAAGAUUUAUCGGAGAAGGAUCGGCCCGCGUUGGAUUAGGUAGUUGGUGGGGUAAUGGCCUACCAAGCCGACGAUCCAUAGCUGGUUUGAGAGGAUGAUCAGCCACACUGGGACUGAGACACGGCCCAGACUCCUACGGGAGGCAGCAGUGGGGAAUCUUAGACAAUGGGCGCAAGCCUGAUCUAGCCAUGCCGCGUGAGCGAUGAAGGCCUUAGGGUUGUAAAGCUCUUUCAGGGGGGAAGAUAAUGACUGUACCCCCAGAAGAAGCCCCGGCUAACUCCGUGCCAGCAGCCGCGGUAAU